GAUGAACGCUGGCGGCGUGCCUAAUACAUGCAAGUCGAGCGAACAGACGAGGAGCUUGCUCCUCUGACGUUAGCGGCGGACGGGUGAGUAACACGUGGAUAACCUACCUAUAAGACUGGGAUAACUUCGGGAAACCGGAGCUAAUACCGGAUAAUAUAUUGAACCGCAUGGUUCAAUAGUGAAAGACGGUUUUGCUGUCACUUAUAGAUGGAUCCGCGCCGCAUUAGCUAGUUGGUAAGGUAACGGCUUACCAAGGCAACGAUGCGUAGCCGACCUGAGAGGGGGGUCGGCCAAACUGGAACUGAGAAACGGUCCAGACUCCUAAGGGAGGCAGCAGUAGGGAAUCUUCCGCAAUGGGCGAAAGCUUGACGGAGCAACGCCGCGUGAGUGAUGAAGGUCUUCGGAUCGUAAAACUCUGUUAUUAGGGAAGAACAAAUGUGUAAGUAACUAUGCACGUCUUGACGGUACCUAAUCAGAAAGCCACGGCUAAAUACGUG
rnacentral:rRNA from 1 species